rnacentral:tRNA from 1 species
CGGGCUGUAGUGUACCGGCAACACGUCUGCAUGGGGUGCAGAAAAUUUACGGGGUUCGACUCCCCGCAGCCCGA